rnacentral:rRNA from 1 species
GCUGAAGACUUUAGCUUGCUAAAGUUGGAAGAGUUGCGAACGGGUGAGUAACGCGUAGGUAACCUGCCUACUAGCGGGGGAUAACUAUUGGAAACGAUAGCUAAUACCGCAUAACAGCAUUUAACCCAUGUUAGAUGCUUGAAAGGAGCAAUUGCUUCACUAGUAGAUGGACCUGCGUUGUAUUAGCUAGUUGGUGAGGUAACGGCUCACCAAGGCGACGAUACAUAGCCGACCUGAGAGGGUGAUCGGCCACACUGGGACUGAGACACGGCCCAGACUCCUACGGGAGGCAGCAGUAGGGAAUCUUCGGCAAUGGGGGCAACCCUGACCGAGCAACGCCGCGUGAGUGAAGAAGGUUUUCGGAUCGUAAAGCUCUGUUGUAAGAGAAGAACGUGUGUGAGAGUGGAAAGUUCACACAGUGACGGUAACUUACCAGAAAGGGACGGCUAACUACGUGCCAGCAGCCGCGGUA